UUUCUAGAGAUAUAAAGUUUGCUCCAUUUGGAUUAGAAUUAAGAAAGUUAUGCUUAGUCAAAAUGAAACAUUUUUUUAGGACACUUAGAAAAAUUUCUAAGUCCAAAAUCUUCAAAAUUUGUCAAGACUUCUUGGCCAGUUUUCUUGCACUUCAAGGCAUUAUUUGAAAAUACUUUCUUCAUAACAAUUGUACCUUGCCAUGUCCUCU
rnacentral:lncRNA from 1 species